AUGUGCCUGGUUCUGAGAGCUACUGCUGUUGUUCCAUUUUACAGAUGUGGACCGGUCACCAUGAGCCCAGGGCCGUGCAGCUUGUGCAUGUUGGAACCACAUCCUGACAUAAAUCAGUGGCCCAGACUCUGUCCCUCCCGGAGGAAAGUACAAAGGGACAGCGUGCCACAAAAACAUUGGUACGGAACCAUCAGAACCAUCCCUGGCUGUGAAAUGCGGGAGGGCCAUGCCAGCGCAUCCCAAGGGAAGGUGACUGUUAGAAGUGUCCGUCCCCUGGAGAAGUGGGUACAGGCGUGGGGGAAGGAGGCCACACAGGAUGCCCACGUCUUGGUGAAGGGCUGCCUAGAGUGAUGUAAACCUGCAGGCAUUUCCACUGGGGAAGGCAGAGGGCCUGCAGGAGCCAAGGACAUCCUCCACAUAAUCACCACAGCCCUGGCUGUGGGAGCUGUAAACACACCAAACUCUGGAUUCACAGAAAUGGCAAAAAUGGAUCCUCCAAACCAGGGAGAAGGCCGGACACUCUCCCCUGAACCAAAACUGGUUCUGCUGUAUUUGAUUCAGACAGGCGGCUUCCCAGAGGCUCUCCCCAGCUCAGGGACCACCCUUAUUUAUGGGGGACCUCCAUGAACAAGGGAGUAUGAGGGGUCCACCGGGUACAGGUCAAUUUCC
rnacentral:lncRNA from 1 species